rnacentral:lncRNA from 1 species
CUUAAAAGAAUCUUCUAACUUGAUGUUCAUAUUCUACUAUUUUAUCUUACACAAGAAAAUAAGUUCCCAAUGUUGCUAAAGAGUUAACAGCAAUUCGGCCGGGGAAGAAUAAUACUACAUGCCAUGAUGUUGUGAUUGAAGUCCGCGACGUCAAUCAUUCGGGCGUGGAAGACCAUACCAAGCAGCAACCAGAAUAUCACGAGAAGUCAGUGCGCGAUAGAGGACAAGGAAAAAGGAAUAAACAGCGACUCUACUGUAGCUAGGACAAUUAUUGAGGAGCGGAGAUCCGUCCAGGUGUCCAGGCAACACAGGAGGACAAUAGUUGAAGGCACCAGAAGCCUUAAGCACGAAGCAACUCCAGAAGCCUCUACCGCGUCUAUAAAAGGAGCUACCGGGUGAAGCAUUCAGCAUCACCAAGAAUCACCGAGACAUCAGAAAAUCAGCAACACACCACCACAUCGAGCACCGAAGAAAGCAAGAUCACCAAAGACCUCCACCCACACUCCACUCAUACUCCAUGAAGACAUCCACCACCUCGGAACCUCUCUAAGGAAAAAGAUUUAGCCACCAUAUUUAGAAUCACCCACUACCGCUGUAUUACUCCACCUCGUCCGUACCACUACUAGAAUAAAGGGAGGCCGUUGGAGCUCGUCCCUCGGUUUGUAAGGUAAUCAAGGUUUGUGCUAUGUGCUUGGGGUUUCCAGAAAGGGAAAGCUGCAUCUAAGCUUGUCCCGUGGAAAUGGAUUAAGCUGUCCUGGUAGCAUGCCUGCCUUCCUUUAAGCUCGUUCGUAUGGGGCGAUGUCUCAACGCUAGGGACCCUAGAGGAGAAACCUCUGCGUGUGUCGUUCUCGUGUUAGCCCUGGUAGCGGUGUUUGAGGAGAACCCUGUGUGCGUAGAGAAGUGUUCCCUUCAGGUGGAACUUCCUGGGGAGACGGUACAGCCUGAGUCCUGUGUGAGCGUGGCUGGGGACGGUGAGGGCGCAGACCGGGCUGGCCUGGUUCUGAAGCGAGCCAGUGAGGCAUGCGGUGAGUACCGAGUAGGACUGUCACAAUCAUAGCAGCAUGUCCGGCUGAAUUCUUUCGGUCUCGCCAACCCGCAAAGAUCCUGAGAAUAGACUUAAUCAAGGAAUAUACCUAAUCACGCACCCGUGCGUGCCAUAUCCUCUGAAAGCGACCCCGAAUAGUAGCUCAAUAGUGCGCAAUAGUGAGUGAAUAGCGCUGCCACAUUUAGGUGCUCCACCCACUCCCUGGUGAGUGCUCGGGCACUAUUCAUAUUCCCAUUUUGAAUAGUGAGCUGAAUUUAAAUAGUGCCGCGAAUUUGAAUAGUGUUCACCGAAUUUAAAAUUACAUCCUUUACCGGACGGAGGGAGUACUAUUUGAUUCUGUAAGUUUGUAUAAUUUGUUCCGUGAGUUUAUAUAACUUGUUCAAUUAGUCUAAUAUUUGAGUUCGUAUAAUUUGUUCUAGGUGUAUAUAUCUUAAAAGAAUCUUCUAACUUGAUGUUCAUAUUCUACUAUUUUAUCUUACACAAGAAAAUAAGUUCCCAAUGUUGCUAAAGAGUUAACAGCAAUUCGGCCGGGGAAGAAUAAUACUACAUGCCAUGAUGUUGUGAUUGAAGUCCGCGACGUCAAUCAUUCGGGCGUGGAAGACCAUACCAAGCAGCAACCAGAAUAUCACGAGAAGUCAGUGCGCGAUAGAGGACAAGGCAAAAGGAAUAAACAGCGACUCUACUGUAGCCAGGACAAUUAUUGAGGAGCGGAGAUCCGUCCAGGUGUCCAGGCAACACAGGAGGACAAUAGUUGAAGGCACCAGAAGCCUUAAGCACGAAGCAACUCCAGAAGCCUCUGCCGCGUCUAUAAAAGGAGCUACCGGGUGAAGCAUUCAGCAUCACCAAGAAUCACCGAGACAUCAGAAAAUCAGCAACACACCACCACAUCGAGCACCGAAGAAAGCAACAUCACCGAAGACCUCCACGCACACUCCACUCAUACUCCAUGAAGACAUCCACCACCUCGGAACCUCUCUAAGGAAAAAGAUUUAGGCACCAUAUUUAGAAUCACCCACUACCGCUGUAUUACUCCACCUCGUCCGUACCACUACUAGAAUAAAGGCAGGCCGUUGGAGCUCGUCCCUCGGUUUGUAAGGUAAUCAAGGUUUGUGCUAAGUGCUUGGGGUUUCCAGAAAGGGAAAGCCGCAUGUAAGCUUGUCCCGUGGAAAUGGAUUAAGCUGUCCUG